GUUGAUAUGAUGUUAACCAGUAAUAACCACACCAACAAGCUACAGUGUUUGAGGGCGGGGUCAAAUUGCUCACGGCCGGCCAACUGUGCCCCAACUGCUCCCCGGGCGCCGCAGCAUAAAUGGCUGGUCACGGGUGUGUGUUCACGGUGUGUGUGUGUGUGUUCACUGCUAUAUGUGUGCACUUUGGGUGGGUUAAAUGCAGAGCACGAAUUCCGAGUAUGGGUCACUAUACUUGGCUGCAUGUCACAUCACUUUCACUUUCACUUUCAAUAGGCGGCAUAUUCCAAAUGUGUUACCCCGUUAUGUGUAGCCAUCAUAGAAUUGGGGUUCGAAUCACUGAUGAUUAGUUUAGGAGUCGAUUCUCCCUUUUGGAAGACAAUAACUUUUUAUUUAUCAUGCAUUUUUGGCUUUACAACUUUGCAGAUUGUUUAUAUUCACAUACAGCCAUGUUACACGCUGCAUGAAGGGCAAUUUUUUAAAUGGCAUAAUAGGGGCACUUUAGUAACAUUUCGAGUUUGAUGAUGUGGGACAUAAAAAGGUUGUCUGGUACCAUGCAUUGUGAUAGACUUUAUAAGGUCAAGGCCAGGAACACCCCAUAUUCUGAUCUAAUGGACAUACCAUUGUUUUGGUCGUACGCAAAACCACUGCUGUGAUAGAUUGUCUUGUCCUGUCAUUUGAUAGUAUUAUUUCAUCUGCUUGUCUGCCCUCUAUUUUUGUUUUCUUAGUUUCCUUUCUGUCACCUGUUUGUGUUUGGGUGUGUUUUAUUAGUGUGUCCAGCUGUCUCCCUCUGUGUGUUGAUCAGUGAGGUUCUUGCACAGGGGUUUGUGGGUGAUUGGUAGGGGCUGCACUGUCAGGUGUAUACAGAAAUGAGUUUCACAUGUUAAUGAAAACCUUGACAGAGCCAGAGACAAGGACAGUAGGUUAUGUUCUCCCUCCCCCUGCCAUUCCUGUUGCAUCCCCAUCUGCCCAUUCAGGAUUGCCCACACUCAACAUGCACUCAGCUUUGCUUAUAUUAAGAGGAAAUUGAAGGCUGCAUUAGAAUGGCAAAAACUACAGAUUGAUGCAUGCAUGUGUGUGUGUGUGUGUGUGUGUGUGUGUGUGAGGGAGCAGCUUUUGUCCUGUCAGAUUGCUUCUGUAAGAAUAAUUUUUCUCUCCCACAUGUAAUAUUUUUAGACUUCCUGCGGCGGUCUUCUGCCUUGCAGAUGUGCUUUAAUUUUGCUGUUCUGUGAAUAGUUUGUGUGAAUAGUAUGAAUAUUCUGUGAAUAGUUUGCUCAUCUCAUGUAAGUUGUUCUGCUGGUCUUUAUGAAGAAUGAAAGAGGAGUUGUAUGAAUGCAAGGUGUGUCCGCAAACUGCCCAGGUUUCUCCACUUGUCCUGACUUGUUCU